UUUGUCUUAUCGGCUUCUUUUUGGAGGAGGCUUUUUCGGCCAGCGUGCCGGCCGGAGAGGUUGGCGACGGGGUCGCCGGCGUUUUCCUCAGUGGGCGCCAGGGCUGGCGGGAGCAGCGGCUCGAGGGAAGCACCAUGAUUUCGGCCGCGCAGUUGUUGGAUGAGUUAAUGGGCCGGGACCGAAACCUGGCCCCGGAUGAGAAGCGCAGCAACGUGCGGUGGGACCACGAGAGCGUUUGUAAAUAUUAUCUCUGUGGUUUUUGUCCUGCGGAAUUGUUCACAAAUACUCGUUCAGAUCUUGGUCCAUGUGAAAAAAUUCAUGAUGAAAAUCUACGAAAACAGUAUGAAAAGAGUUCUCGUUUCAUGAAAGUUGGCUAUGAGAGAGAUUUUCUUCGAUACUUACAGAGUUUACUUGCAGAAGUAGAACGUAGAAUUAGACGAGGCCAUGCUCGUUUGGCAUUAUCUCAAAACCAGCAGUCCUCUGGGGCAGCUGGCCCAACAGGCAAAAAUGAAGAAAAAAUUCAGGUUCUAACAGAUAAAAUUGAUGUACUCCUGCAACAGAUUGAAGAAUUAGGAUCUGAAGGAAAAGUAGAAGAAGCCCAAGGAAUGAUGAAAUUAGUUGAACAGUUAAAAGAAGAGAGAGAAUUGCUUAGGUCCACAACAUCGACAAUUGAGAGUUUUGCUGCCCAAGAAAAACAAAUGGAAGUUUGUGAAGUGUGUGGAGCUUUUUUGAUCGUAGGAGAUGCCCAGUCCCGGGUAGAUGACCAUUUAAUGGGAAAACAGCACAUGGGCUAUGCUAAAAUCAAAACUACUGUAGAGGAAUUAAAAGAAAAAUUAAGAAAAAGAACUGAAGAACCUGAUCGUGAUGAGCGUUUAAAAAAAGAGAAGCAAGAACGAGAAGAAAGAGAAAAAGAGCGGGAGAGAGAAAGGGAAGAAAGAGAAAGGAAAAGACGAAGAGAAGAGGAAGAGAGAGAAAAAGAAAGGGCUCGCGAUAGGGAGAGAAGAAAGAGAAGUCGUUCACGAAGUCGCCACUCAAGCCGAACUUCUGACCGAAGAUGCAGCAGGUCUCGGGACCACAAAAGGUCACGAAGUAGAGAAAGAAGGCGAAGCAGAAGUAGAGAUCGCCGAAGAAGCAGAAGCCAUGAUAGAUCCGAAAGAAAGCAUAGAUCUCGUAGUCGAGAUCGAAGGAGAUCAAAAAGCCGGGAUCGAAAGUCAUACAAGCACAGGAGCAAAAGUCGGGACAGAGAACAAGAUAGAAAAUCCAAGGAGAAAGAAAAGAGGGGAUCUGAUGAUAAAAAAAGUAGUGUGAAGUCCAGUAGUCGAGAAAAACAGAGUGAAGACGCAAACACUGAAUCAAAGGAAAGUGAUACUAAGAAUGAGGUCAAUGGGACCAGUGAAGACAUUAAAUCUGAAGUGCAGCGUAAGUAUGCACAGAUGAAGAUGGAACUAAGCCGAGUAAGAAGACAUACAUCUUCUGAAGGAAAAGACAGUGUAGUCCUGCAAAACGUGUUGAGGUACAUUGUUUUGUCUCAGCUUUUGUAGCAGACCCGUGCCCCCAAUAGAGUGCCUCUUUGGAAAUUACUGCCCACAUUUGUAAUGUAGUCGCCAUUGAACAGUUAAUUAUCCUUUUUUUAGGGAUUUUGCUGUCAUUUCUUUUUAUUUUUUUAAAUAAAAAGGUUGAAAUGUUUUUUUUUUCUUUUUGGUAUUAAGUCCAUCUUGUGUUGGUACAUUGGCAGAGACAUUGCUUUAAAAACUUAAAUAUUUCUGAGGCACAUGUUGGACUACUUUGUUUUAAUUAAACUGCUAGUUAUUUCUUUGUCAAGGAUGUUUCUAGUUUUUUGCUUUAUUGCCUUGCAUUCUAAUGCAGUUUGUUCUGUAACUCGAGAGCCAGUAGCAUUGGAUUGAUGGAAGUGUAGGGUUUAUGAAUUAUUGCAGCUGACUACCAUACCUCACACAGCGUUGGUGUUGUGAGCGGCCCAUGAAAAGCCAAAUUAAAAAUCAAGGAUUCAGUCAAACUAAGCAGGUACUCAUGCCAGGUACUCCUUUCUCUACCCACAUCCAUGUUUGAAUGCUAUUGCCUGUGAUCUUUACGCUUAACUGUUGUGUAUCUUUUUUGUUCUUUACAAGAAGCACAGAGGGGUUUUUUGUGUAUUGCGUGAAACUUAUAAAUCAAAUGUUAACAGAAUGGAAUUUUUUUUCAACUGUAUGUAGGGAUGCAGUGGUGCCCAGAAUUAGAUAUCUUUAAAGAAUUUUAAAUACAAUAAACACUUCAUAUUAUUCGCCUUGUUACAUUCAAUGCAAUUCUCAAGUCUUUAAGAGGUAUGUGUUUAAUAUUUCCUACUGUGUAGGAGAAUUUUGCAGUCAACCAUAGGUAUAUAGGAAUAGUCACUGGCUGAUACAUUUAAAGCAGCAGUGAAUAGCAAGGAUAGACAUUUUCACUCUGAAAUGUAAAGAACUGAUGAACCAUACAGAAUGAAUUUGGGUUUUUAAAGAACUAUUAAAAGUCAGGUUUUAUCAGAGUUCUUAAAACCUACAAACUAUUCAUUCUUUGGGCUAGUGGCGUGGGAUAGAACAUUCCUAAUGAAAGGGAGUACCAAUUAGUUGAUUUAUCGGUGGCAUUCCUUUUCUAGGACAGCAGUAUAAUGUGGUGUCUGUGUGAGCCAUUCCCACAUAGGCAAGUAUACACAGGCACAUGGCUUUAAGACCACACUGAUGCCUUGGUAAUGAAAAAGAAUACAAAAACAUUCUAUAUACAUAUAUUAUUAGCAGUUAGUGACUGGGCCAACACUUAGUCAUAAAAGUUUGCCUUUUGCAUGUUGUCUAAUUAUCAUUUUUCCCCAAAUUUUGCAUUAUAGGACUACUGUUCGAAGAUUUUUGGAAGAAAACUGAAAACGGCAUAAAGUGAAGACCGACAUUAAAAUGAGGAGCUACGACUGUUAUCAAUUACUCUUCCAAGUGGUGUUUUGUGGGGAAGUGGGCUUAGGGGGGAUGUAAGCCUGCAUGUGUAGUUUUUUAUAAUAUAUGAUAGUAUACCACAUGUUGUGAAUCUUGCUGUCUCACUCCUGCAUUUUGAAACAUGGGAGACCUAGCAGUACGUUUCAAGUAAACCAGUGCUGAGAAAUGGUUUUCACUGUAUCAGAUUUUUAGUGUCUAUUUUAACAAUGCAGUUUGAGCGUUUCAUAGUUAAUCUUUCUCUUCCUCUCAGCCAUCCCAAAUAGAUCAGUUGUCAACAGAUUUAAGAAUAUUCAGAAAAAAUGGGAGACAGGUUGACACUAGCUGUGUCAUAAUUUCUCUUGUGGCUCUUCUAACCCCCUAGAUACAUACCUUAGAGAAACUCUUUACACAUGUGUGCCAGGAGAUGGACUUAGAAUGUUAUAACAGUGUCAUUUGUAGUAGGAAGAAAAGGGGGAAAAACAACAAAAACCUGGAAAGGCCCCCAAAUGUCCAUUAAUAACCCACUGGAUAAGUAUUGUGAUAUAUUCUACAGUGGAAUUCCACACAAGUCAACCUGAACUACAGCUACAGGUGUGAACAUGGAUGACUGGUCAGAAAAGCAAGCUGCAGAAGAACACUUCCACUCGGCUGAUAUUUCUGUGAAGGUCAGAACCAGGCUGUUAAAUACAUGGAAUUGAGUGCGUGGUUCCUUCUGGCUGUACCCUGUGUGCUUCUGUUUGUAUGAUAUUUCUUAAUAAAAUUUCAAGUUAAAAAGGGACAGGUUUUGGUGUAGGUAGUGCCUAAUGAAACAGAUGUAUUCACAGUG